rnacentral:rRNA from 1 species
GACGAACGCUGGCGGCGUGCCUAAUACAUGCAAGUCGAACGCAGUGGGGACGGGUGAGUGACACGUGGGUAACCUCCCAUCAGAGGGGAUAACCCUUGGCAACAGGUGCUAAACCGAUAUUGAUUGAUGGACUCGCUGUGCAUUAGCUAGUUGGUGGGGUAACGGCUCACCAAGGCCACGAGGCAUAGCCGACCUGAGAGGAGGAUCGGCCACACUGGGACUGAGACACGGCCCAGACUCCUACGGGAGGCAGCAGUAGGGAAUCUUCGGCAAUGGACGAAAGUCUGACCGAGCAACGCCGCGUGAGUGAAGAAGGUUUUCGGAUCGUAAAACUCUGUUGUUAGAGAAGCGGUAUCUAAACAGAAAGCAACGGCUAACUACGUGCCAGCAGCCGCGGUAAUAC